rnacentral:rRNA from 1 species
UACGGGGGGGGGUAAGCGUUGUUCGGAAUUACUGGGCGUAAAGGGCGCGUAGGCGGUCGUGACAAGUCACUUGUGAAAUCCCCGGGCUCAACCCGGGAACUGCGUCCGAUACUGGGAGGCUUGAAUCCGGGAGAGGGAUGUGGAAUUCCAGGUGUAGCGGUGAAAUGCGUAGAUAUCUGGAGGAACACCGGUGGCGAAGGCGGCGAUCCUGGACCGGUAUUGACGCUGAGGCGCGAAAGCCAGGGGAGCAAAGCGGG